GAUGAAGAACGUAGCGAAAUGCGAUACUUGGUGUGAAUUGCAGAAUCCCGUGAACCAUCGAGUCUUUGAACGCAAGUUGCGCCUGAAGCCAGUAGGCCGAGGGCACGCCUGCCUGGGCGUCACACGCCGUUGCCCCCCCAUCUACUCCUUCGGGAUUGCGGGGGGGCGGAUGAUGGCCUCCCGUGCGCCUAGCCGCGCGGUUGGCAUAAAUACCAAGUCCUCGGCGACGCACGCCACGACAAUCGGUGGUUGCGAAACCUCGGUUGCCCGUCGUGUGCGUUCGUCGCGCAUCGAGGGCUCGAAAAAAUGCUCGGCUCCGGCUGGGCUUUCAACGCGACCCCAGGUCAGGCGGGGUUACCCGCUGAAUUUAAGCAUAUCAAUAAGCGGAGGA
rnacentral:misc_RNA from 1 species